CCCGCUGAACUUAAGCAUAUCAAUAAGCGGAGGAAAAGAAACUAACAAGGAUUCCCCUAGUAACUGCGAGUGAAGCGGGAAAAGCUCAAAUUUAAAAUCUGUCAGUCUUUGGCUGUCCGAGUUGUAAUCUAGAGAAGUGUUAUCCGCGCUGGACCGUGUACAAGUCUCCUGGAACGGAGCGUCAUAGAGGGUGAGAAUCCCGUCUUUGACACGGACUACCAGGGCUUAUGUGAUGCGCUCUCAAAGAGUCGAGUUGUUUGGGAAUGCAGCUCUAAAUGGGUGGUAAAUUCCAUCUAAAGCUAAAUAUUGGCGAGAGACCGAUAGCGAACAAGUACCGUGAGGGAAAGAUGAAAAGAACUUUGGAAAGAGAGUUAAACAGUACGUGAAAUUGUUGAAAGGGAAACGCUUGAAGUCAGUCGCGUUGGCCAGGAAUCAACCUUGCUUUUGCUUGGCGUACUUUCUGGUUAAUGGGUCAGCAUCAAUUUUGACCGGUGGAUAAAGGUCAGGGGAAUGUGGCAUCUUCGGAUGUGUUAUAGCCUCUGGUCGCAUACAUCGGUUGGGAUUGAGGAACUCAGCACGCCGCAAGGCCGGGUUUUUAACCACGUACGUGCUUAGGAUGCUGGCAUAAUGGCUUUAAUCGACCCGUCUUGAAACACGG
rnacentral:rRNA from 1 species